AGAGUUUGAUCCUGGCUCAGGAUGAACGCUGGCGGCGUGCUUAACACAUGCAAGUCGAACGGACUUUAUAUGAAGCCUAGCGAUUGUAAAGUUAGUAGCGGACGGGUGAGUAACGCGUGAAUAACCUGCCCUGUACCGGGGGACAACAGUUGGAAACGGCUGCUAAUACCGCAUAAGCGCACGGUUCCGCAUGGAACAGUGUGAAAAACUCCGGUGGUACAGGAUGGAUUCGCGUCUGAUUAGCCAGUUGGUGGGGUAACGGCCUACCAAAGCAACGAUCAGUAGCCGGCCUGACCGAGGGUGAACGGCCACAUUGGGACUGAGACCACCGGCCCAAACGUCCGUACGGGAGGCA
rnacentral:rRNA from 1 species